rnacentral:misc_RNA from 1 species
GGCAAAAGAAAAAUCAAGAAAAUAAAACCAGGAAGGGAACAAAGGCGAAGCUGCCAAACAAAAGCCAAAGGCCAACAAGCUGCUGCAAAAACCAAGCAAACAAAACAAGAUCCAAUAAACUUCCAAGCAAAGUAGAGGAAGCAAAGCAAAUUCAAGUUACUGCUAAUUUUGGUCCUUAUACUAAUAUGCAUGAAGAAUGGAACUUGGAUUAAGGGUCGGCAUGAUAGUGAAAUGGACGUCAGGCAAAAGACAUCAUGGCUGGUUCUAACUUGCCCAGAAACUUCUCCUCCAGAAACUCCUCUGCAAAUGAC